rnacentral:rRNA from 1 species
GACGCCACCUUUCUAGCCCAACCCCCCUAACAUCACACAAACCCAUAUUCUAAUAAACUUAAUAAAUCAUUCUAAGUCCUAAGUAUAGGUGAUAGAAAAGGAAUCCGGAGCAAUAUAAAUAGUACCGCAAGGGAAAGAUGAAAUAGAAAUGAAAUAAAUAAUUUAAGCACAAAAAAGCAAAGACUAAAUCUUGUACCUUUUGCAUCAUGAUUUAACUAGUCAAAUCAGGCAAAAAGUAAUUUCAGUCUGACCUCCCGAAACUAAGUGAGCUACUCCGAGGCAACUUUAGAGUUAACCCGUCUCUGUGGCAAAAGAGUGGGAAGACCUCCGAGUAGCGGUGACAGACCUAUCGAACUUAGUGAUAGCUGGUUACUCAAGAAAAGAAUCUAAGUUCCCUCUUAAGGUACCUCAGCAACUUUAAGCAAACCCUUACCUUAAGUGAUAUUCAAUAGGGGUACAGCCCUAUUGAAAAAGGAGACAACCUAAACCUCUGGAUAAUGAUCAUAAUAUUUAAACUUAGGCCUAGUAGGCUUAAAAGCAGCCACCUAAAAAGAAAACGUCAAAGCUCAUCCUAAUUCUUUAUUCAAUACCUAUAGACUUUCAAAAUCCAUAAUUCAUAUUGAGUCAUUCUAUAAAACUAUAGAACAGUUUAUGUUAAAACUAGUAACACAGAAUUAUACUUCUCUUAAAUACAAGUGUGAAUCAGAUCGAAUAAAUCACUGAUAAUUAACAAUCUCAUAGAGACUAUAGUAAUAACUACCCAAGAAAACAUUACUUCACCAACUGUCAAUCUUACACAAGAGUAUUCCAAGAAAGAUUAAAAAAUAAGGAAGGAACUCGGCAAAUCUAGGCUUCGCCUGUUUACCAAAAACAUCGCCUCUUGAAUUUUAUAAGAGGUCCCGCCUGCCCAGUGACUAUAUGUUCAACGGCCGCGGUAUUCUGACCGUGCGAAGGUAGCGUAAUCACUUGUCUUUUAAAUAAAGACUGGUAUGAAUGGCCUCACGAGAGCCUUACUGUCUCCCUUAUUUAAUCAGUGAAACUGAUCUUCCCGUGCAGAAGCGGGAAUUUUAUCAUAAGACGAGAAGACCCCAUGGAGCUUAAAACCUAAAAUUACCUGCUCAAACAUAUUUCCUACGGGACCACCCUUUAGCCUUGCAGAAAAUAAUUUAAGUUUUCGGUUGGGGUGACCACGGAGAAAAAUAAAUCCUCCUUGAUGAAUAAUUAAUUUAAACCACGAGCCACUGCUCUAAGUAUUAGAACUUCUAACUAAAUUGAUCCAAUAAUUUUGAUCAACGGACCAAGUUACCCUGGGGAUAACAGCGCAAUCUAUUUCAAGAGUCCAUAUCGACAAAUGGGUUUACGACCUCGAUGUUGGAUCAGGGUAUCCCAGUGGUGCAGCCGCUACUAAAGGUUCGUUUGUUCAACGAUUAAAACCCUACGUGAUCUGAGUUCAGACCGGAGAAAUCCAGGUCAGUUUCUAUCUAUGAAGAACUUUUUCUAGUACGAAAGGACCGAAAAAGUAGAGCCCAUAAUUACAUUACGCUCUUGUUAAAAAUUUCUGAACCCAUCUUAAAUUAACCUUAGCCUUCCCAAAUACCCUAGAUAAGGGUUA